rnacentral:rRNA from 1 species
UACGGGGGGGGCAAGCGUUGUUCGGAAUUAUUGGGCGUAAAGAGCUCGUAGGCGGUUUGUUGCGUCGGCUGUGAAAUCCCGAGGCUCAACCUCGGGUCUGCAGUCGAUACGAGCAAACUAGAGUGUUGCAGGGGAGACUGGAAUUCCUGGUGUAGCGGUGAAAUGCGCAGAUAUCAGGAGGAACACCGGUGGCGAAGGCGGGUCUCUGGGCAACAACUGACGCUGAGGCGCGAAAGCUAGGGGAGCAAACGGG